GGAUAGCUCAGCUGGUUAGAGCUUGAUGCUCAUAACACCAAGGUUGCAGGUUCAAUCCCUGAAUGGGAUGGCUGCA